rnacentral:rRNA from 1 species
UACGUAGGGUGCAAGCGUUGUCCGGAAUUAUUGGGCGUAAAGAGCUCGUAGGCGGUUUGUCGCGUCGCUGUGAAAACCUGGGGCUCAACCCCGGGCCUGCAGCCGAUACGGGCAAACUAGAAUUCGGUAGGGGAGACUGGAAUUCCUGGUGUAGCGGUGAAAUGCGCAGAUAUCAGGAGGAACACCGGUGGCGAAGGCAGGUCUCUGGGCCGAUAUUGACGCUGAGGAGCGAAAGCGUGGGGAGCAAACAGG